rnacentral:rRNA from 3 species
CCCUUUGGGGUGUGACUGCGUACCUUUUGUAUAAUGGGUCAGCGACUUAUAUUCUGUAGCAAGGUUAACCGUAUAGGGGAGCCGGAGGGAAACCGAGUCUUAAUUGGGCGUUAAGUUGCAGGGUAUAGACCCGAAACCCGGUGAUCUAGCCAUGGGCAGGUUGAAGGUUGGGUAACACUAACUGGAGGACCGAACCGACUAAUGUUGAAAAAUUAGCGGAUGACCUGUGGCUGGGGGUGAAAGGCCAAUCAAACCGGGAGAUAGCUGGUUCUCCCCGAAAGCUAUUUAGGUAGCGCCUCGUGAAUUCAUCUCCGGGGGUAGAGCACUGUUUCGGCUAGGGGGCCAUCCCGGCUUACCAACCCGAUGCAAACUGCGAAUACCGGAGAAUGUUAUCACGGGAGACACACGGCGGGUGCUAACGUCCGUCGUGAAGAGGGAAACAACCCAGACCGCCAGCUAAGGUCCCAAAGUCAUGGUUAAGUGGGAAACGAUGUGGGAAGGCCCAGACAGCCAGGAUGUUGGCUUAGAAGCAGCCAUCAUUUAAAGAAAGCGUAAUAGCUCACUGGUCGAGUCGGCCUGCGCGGAAGAUGUAACGGGGCUAAACCAU